CCUACGGGAGGCAGCAGUGAGGAAUAUUGGUCAAUGGUCGGGAGACUGAACCAGCCAAGCCGCGUGAGGGAUGAAGGUACAGAGUAUCGUAAACCUCUUUUGUCAGGGAACAAAGGCGGGGACGCGUCCCCGGAUGAGUGUACCUGAAGAAAAAGCAUCGGCUAACUCCGUGCCAGCCGCCGCGGUAAUACGGAGGAUGCGAGCGUUAUCCGGAUUUCUGGGGUUUAAAGGGUGCGCGGGGGGUGUGUUAAGUCAGCGGUCAAAGCCCGGGGCCCAACCCCGGCCCGCCGUUGAAACUGGCAGUCUGGAGUUGGAGAGAAGGAGGCGGAAUGCGCGGUGUAGCGGUGAAAUGCAUAGAUAUCGCGAAGAAGUCCGAUGGCGAAGGCAGCAUGCCGGCUCCACACUGACGCUGAGGCACGAAAGCGUGGGUAUCGAACAGGAUUAGAUACCCUAGUAGUC
rnacentral:rRNA from 1 species